UACAAAAAAUCCGAGAAAAAUCAACUCUGACAAACGUCUAACUCCGACUUCCUAUAGGGUCGGAGUCGGAUUUAACAUAAUCCGGUUUGAGUCCGACCCGUUGCCAUCCUUAAUAAUAAGUGCGAUUAUACGUAUGAACAGUGAAUAAUACUUCGCCUGCACAAGCAAUCAGAACAGUUUGAAUGGGAGUUCAUUACCGCCUUACCUUGCUCGCUCGAUUCACAGAGGAACAAUUCUUCAUUUAUUGAAGAAUUUUCAGAAUUGGCUUUAUCAAUGGGAAUUACAAUUUCUCUGGUUCUGUUGGAAGCUCAGUUUGGUGACUGCACCAAUGUGACACAAUACACAAGUAUUAUUCGAUCAGCUCUUAAACAGAGGAGAGGAAAAUGGUUGUUGCUACAUGCAAAUUGGAAUCAAUGUGGUACUUCCUCAUGAUGUAAUUUUCAGAGGACUGAAUAUCAUUUGCAUGAUAAGAAGAACCCUUCAGGUGUGAAGAUUCUGGGGAACAAGGCCUUAGUUUUGAAUUCAGUGAUAAUUUGCAAAUUUUACUUGGCUUGUGUGAUAUCAAAUCCAACUAAGAAAAACGGAUAAGCACAACAGAGUUAAUAAAGCCAUAAAGAGAAGGAAAAGUAUGCACAUCUUGUUUGAACAGAAAAUUGGGAGUUCUAGUUAUAAAUCAGUAGAAAUCGUGUUCCUCUUUGUGGAACAUGGCCACCUAAGUAGUCUAUUGGUUUUAUGGUCAAAGGGUUGGUCAUUCGUAUGAAGACCUCCCAUAUAUCCAAGAGACUGAGAUACACUGUCCUGUUGGAAUCAGAGGUGUUUUGAGGGGGAAUGAGCUCUUUUUUUUUUCCCAGAACGCAAAGGGGAAGAAAAGACUCGUUGUACUGUCUGGUUUUUAUAAUGUUGUAGCAUGGGUGACAUUGUGGAGCGGCCCUGGAAUUGAGGUUUCUUUAGAACAAUCUCAGAGAAGUAAAUGACUUGGCAGAUGCUCUAGCAGAAAAGUGUCAAAGCAUGGUUUUAUGUAUGAACAACUGAACAAUGAUACAAUGGAGCUUAGCCUUGUUGUAUUUUGAUUAAAGGAUGAGGUGUGAAAUGGCUGGUAAAUAUGAGAUCUUUUCUAGAUGGUGAUUGGCAGAUGCAUAUGGAAGAAGAUAGGUUUAAGAUAAUAGUGCCAAGAGCAUAUGAACUUAUCUUAUAUUGAAAAAGGUUAUUUUAGAUGUGUGUGUGUGGGAAAACAGUCGUGAAUUUGGCUCUUUCAAAAGGAAAAAAAAAAACCCAAGAUGUCCUACCUUUUGGCGUAACAUAGCUUGAAGCUACUUCCCUUGAAAAUACUCCAAGGAAAGCUUAUGGAUUAUUGGCCCUGACAAAAGUUGUCUUCCACUAACUGUAAGGAUUUGGCCUGGCUUAGACAUAAGCAACCUUAUCCCUGCAGUUUUAAGUUUAGGCAUGAUUUUGUCAUGUACCCUUGGUUGAAAAAAACAUCUCGAUGUCCUAAGCUGACAUGCUAGAUUGUAUUCCUAAGUUAAAUAACAUCCCCUUGUGACAAUGUGGUCGCUGUUGGAAAUGACCCGUGGCCAGUGCAUGAAUGAAACGUGGUUUUGAAGUGUGAAAGGAAUUGCUAUGAUUUGUUGAUCUGGUGUUUUCAGGGAUGGUGAAAUGGACUAUUUAAUCUAGUAGCCCUUUCUGUCCUGGGCAGCUUAUUGAUGUUGUUUAAACAACUGGGUCCUGGCAGCCCAGAAGAUUGCCCCUCGUAACUUUUCAAGCAGGUGACUGAGGAUGAUUCCUAAGUCAUAUCUCAGACAGAGCCCACACCUAGGAAGCAGUUUUCGAAGUGAAAGUAUGCAAUUGGCAGGUUGAUUAUGUGACAAUGCCUGCUUUUUUUUAGUUUUGUGGUUGUUGCUGCACUUGUUCUUUCUGAGUUUUUUUAUAGAGUCCAACUUCCAAAAAAAUAUUAGUCUAUUUCUGGACACAAAUGAUGUUAGGGGAAUUUCACAAGCCUCAUUCUGUGGUUUCCCAAGAUUUUACAUACAAACAAGAAUGUAAUAAAUCAUUUUGAAUCUUAAGUUGAAGUCCACCUACAAUUUCUUCUUUUCUUAAAACAUAAAUUGUCUUAUGAUGGGAAUAUGCAAUGUAGUAGAAAUCAAUCCAAUUCCCUCUAGCCUUUCCUUGUUUGUACUUGUUUUAUAUGUUUGUUGAAUUGCAGUAGUGAAUGUGCUAUUCCUCCUUACCUGAGAAGAAUUUGGCUAAAAUCUAGCGGUUUUGAAUACUGACGAGGUUGUUAUCUGCACUCUGCAAGUCUGCAGUAUAAUAAUCCUAAGAAAUUAUUUCACAGAUUAAAUAAGCUGUAUUAGUAUGUUUAAUUACUUCCCAAACAUUGGAAUACUAUUAAUCUUUGAGUUGAUUUGUGUAAAUGACUAAUAUAAUUCUAGUGUACACACUUGAAGGGGUUUCUUUGUCCUUGAAAAGAUGCAAACACAGAAACACUUUAAUACAGCUUAUUGUUCAGGUUUGGAGUUGGCCUUCAGUUUAGUUCUUUCUUGUAUUUAUCAGAUCGCUGUUGAAAGAUGAUAGAACGGAUGAUUUGAAUGUGUUCUUUCCAUGUAAAGCAUUGUGGUGGUUUGUUUGUGUAAACCGAGUUAUUCAAGUCCGGAAAAGAGGUGAUUUGUCAGGGAAUUGGCAUUUGUGGCUCCUGAAGUUGAACUGGCGAAGCUCAAUGGUAAGAAGCUGGUUGUUGCCUUGUGCAGGCUUUAAAGGGGAUAUUACUACUGUGUUUCUGUUGUAUGACUGAGCUAUGUUGUAUUCUUUUACACGACACGUUAACUUGUAUGAUAAUGUUAUCAUAUAGCA